CAGUAGCCACGGGAAUACAGAGGGUGCGAGCGUUAAUCGGAUUUACUGGGCGUAAAGCGCGCGUAGGCGGUUACUCAAGUCAGAGGUGAAAGCCCGGGGCUCAACCCCGGAACUGCCUUUGAAACUAGGUGACUAGAAUCUUGGAGAGGUCAGUGGAAUUCCGAGUGUAGAGGUGAAAUUCGUAGAUAUUCGGAAGAACACCAGUGGCGAAGGCGACUGACUGGACAAGUAUUGACGCUGAGGUGCGAAAGCGUGGGGAGCAAACAGGAUUAGAGACCCCAGUAGUCCCUGUCUCUUAUAA
rnacentral:rRNA from 1 species